GACGAACGCUGGCGGCGUGCUUAACACAUGCAAGUCGAACGGAAAGGCCCUGGUUUUGUUUGGUGCUCGAGUGGCGAACGGGUGAGUAACACGUGAGUAACCUGCCCUUGACUUUGGGAUAACUGCAGGAAACUGGUGCUAAUACCGGAUAGGAGCUCCUGCUGCAUUGGGGGGGUGGGAAAGGUUCGGCGGUUGGGUAUGGCCUCGCGGCUUAUCAGCUUGUUGGUGGGGUAGUGGCUUACCAAGGCGUUGACGGGUAGCCGGCCUGAGAGGGUGACCGGCCACAUUGGGACUGAGCUAAGGCACAGCCUCCUACGGGAGGCAGCAGAGGAGAAUAUUGCACUAUGGGCGGGAGCAUGAUCCAGUAAAGCCGCGUGCGGGAUGACGGCAUUCGGGUUGUAAACCGCUUUCGCCUGUGACGAAGCGUGAGUGACGGUAAUGGGUAAAGAAGCAACGGCUAACUACGUG
rnacentral:rRNA from 1 species